AUCAGCUUGUUGGUGAGGUAACGGCUCACCAAGGCGUCGACGGGUAGCCGGCCUGAGAGGGUGACCGGCCACACUGGGACUGAGACACGGCCCAGACUCCUACGGGAGGCAGCAGUGGGGAAUAUUGCACAAUGGGCGAAAGCCUGAUGCAGCAACGCCGCGUGAGGGACGACGGCCUUCGGGUUGUAAACCUCUUUUAGCAGGAAAGAAGCGAAAGUGACGGUACCUGCAGAAAAAGCGCCGGCUAACUACGUGCCAGCAGCCGCGGUAAUACGUAGGGCGCAAGCGUUAUCCGGAAUUAUUGGGCGUAAAGAGCUCGUAGGCGGUCUGUCGCGUCUGCUGUGAAAACCCGAGGCUCAACCUCGGGCCUGCAGUGGGUACGGGCAGACUAGAGUGCGGUAGGGGAGAUUGGAAUUCCUGGUGUAGCGGUGGAAUGCGCAGAUAUCAGGAGGAACACCGAUGGCGAAGGCAGAUCUCUGGGCCGUAACUGACGCUGAGGAGCGAAAGGGUGGGGAGCAAACAGGCUUAGAUACCCUGGUAGUCCACCCCGUAAACGUUGGGAACUAGUUGUGGGGUCCAUUCCACGGAUUCCGUGACGCAGCUAACGCAUUAAGUUCCCCGCCUGGGGAGUACGGCCGCAAGGCUAAAACUCAAAGGAAUUGACGGGGACCCGCACAAGCGGCGGAGCAUGCGGAUUAAUUCGAUGCAACGCGAAGAACCUUACCAAGGCUUGACAUAUACGAGAACGGGCCAGAAAUGGUCAACUCUUUGGACACUCGUAAACAGGUGGUGCAUGGUUGUCGUCAGCUCGUGUCGUGAGAUGUUGGGUUAAGUCCCGCAACGAGCGCAACCCUCGUUCUAUGUUGCCAGCACGUAAUGGUGGGAACUCAUGGGAUACUGCCGGGGUCAACUCGGAGGAAGGUGGGGAUGACGUCAAAUCAUCAUGCCCCUUAUGUCUUGGGCUUCACGCAUGCUACAAUGGCCGGUACAAAGGGCUGCAAUACCGCGAGGUGGAGCGAAUCCCAAAAAGCCGGUCCCAGUUCGGAUUGAGGUCUGCAACUCGACCUCAUGAAGUCGGAGUCGCUAGUAAUCGCAGAUCAGCAACGCUGCGGUGAAUACGUUCCCGGGUCUUGUACACACCGCCCGU
rnacentral:rRNA from 1 species